CAACUAUGAUGAUGUUCCACUUCAGGUCCGUGUUUCUGAAUCCUGAUUAUUAUGGAAGUCCUGAGCGA
ensembl:snoRNA SNORD18 Small nucleolar RNA SNORD18